rnacentral:rRNA from 1 species
CAGUCGCCGCGGGAAUACAGAGGGUGCGAGCGUUAAUCGGAUUUACUGGGCGUAAAGCGUGCGUAGGCGGCUAAUUGAGUCGGAUGUGAAAUCCCCGAGCUUAACUUGGGAAUUGCAUUCGAUACUGGUUAGCUAGAGUGUGGGAGAGGAUGGUAGAAUUCCAGGUGUAGCGGUGAAAUGCGUAGAGAUCUGGAGGAAUACCGAUGGCGAAGGCAGCCGUCUGGCCUAACACUGACGCUGAGGUACGAAAGCAUGGGGAGCAAACAGGAUUAGAUACCCCAGUAGUCCCUGUCUCUUAUAC